UACGUAGGUGGCAAGCGUUGUCCGGAUUUACUGGGCGUAAAGAGCGCGCAGGCGGUCGUUCAAGUCGCGUGUGAAAGCCCCCUGCUCAACUGGGGAGGGUCACGCGAUACUGAUCGACUCGAAGGCAGGAGAGGGUAGUGGAAUUCCCGGUGUAGUGGUGAAAUGCGCAGAUAUCAGGAGGAACACCCGUGGCGAAAGCGGCUCUCUGGGACGGUACUGACGCUGAGACGCGAAAGCGUGGGGAGCAAACAGG
rnacentral:rRNA from 1 species